UACGUAGGUGGCGAGCGUUGUCCGGAUUUACUGGGCGUAAAGAGCGCGCAGGCGGUCGUGCAAGUCGCGUGUGAAAGCCCCCGGCUCAACUGGGGAGGGUCACGCGAUACUGCUCGACUUGAAGGCAGGAGAGGGAAGUGGAAUUCCCGGUGUAGUGGUGAAAUGCGUAGAUAUCGUUUGGAACGCCAAAGGUGAAAACAGGUCGCUAGGAGUGUGCUGACGCUGAGACACGAAAGCCAGGGGAGCAAACGGG
rnacentral:rRNA from 1 species